AGCGGCGGACGGGUGAGUAAUGUCUGGGAAACUGCCUGAUGGAGGGGGAUAACUACUGGAAACGGUAGCUAAUACCGCAUAAUGUCGCAAGACCAAAGUGGGGGACCUUCGGGGCCUCAUGCCAUCAGAUGUGCCCAGAUGGGAUUAGCUAGUAGGUGGGGUAACGGCUCACCUAGGCGACGAUCCCUAGCUGGUCUGAGAGGAUGACCAGCCACACUGGAACUGAGACACGGUCCAGACUCCUACGGGAGGCAGCAGUGGGGAAUAUUGCACAAUGGGCGCAAGCCUGAUGCAGCCAUGCCGCGUGUGUGAAGAAGGCCUUCGGGUUGUAAAGCACUUUCAGCGGGGAGGAAGGCGAUAAGGUUAAUAACCUUGUCGAUUGACGUUACCCGCAGAAGAAGCACCGGCUAACUCCGUGCCAGCAGCCGCGGUAAUACGGAGGGUGCAAGCGUUAAUCGGAAUUACUGGGCGUAAAGCGCACGCAGGCGGUCUGUCAAGUCGGAUGUGAAAUCCCCGGGCUCAACCUGGGAACUGCAUUCGAAACUGGCAGGCUAGAGUCUUGUAGAGGGGGGUAGAAUUCCAGGUGUAGCGGUGAAAUGCGUAGAGAUCUGGAGGAAUACCGGUGGCGAAGGCGGCCCCCUGGACAAAGACUGACGCUCAGGUGCGAAAGCGUGGGGAGCAAACAGGAUUAGAUACCCUGGUAGUCCACGCCGUAAACGAUGUCGAUUUGGAGGUUGUGCCCUUGAGGCGUGGCUUCCGGAGCUAACGCGUUAAAUCGACCGCCUGGGGAGUACGGCCGCAAGGUUAAAACUCAAAUGAAUUGACGGGGGCCCGCACAAGCGGUGGAGCAUGUGGUUUAAUUCGAUGCAACGCGAAGAACCUUACCUGGUCUUGACAUCCACAGAACUUUCCAGAGAUGGAUUGGUGCCUUCGGGAACUGUGAGACAGGUGCUGCAUGGCUGUCGUCAGCUCGUGUUGUGAAAUGUUGGGUUAAGUCCCGCAACGAGCGCAACCCUUAUCCUUUGUUGCCAGCGGUUAGGCCGGGAACUCAAAGGAGCCUGCCAGUGAUAAACUGGAGGAAGGUGGGGAUGACGUCAAGUCAUCAUGGCCCUUACGACCAGGGCUACACACGUGCUACAAUGGCAUAUACAAAGAGAAGCGACCUCGCGAGAGCAAGCGGACCUCAUAAAGUAUGUCGUAGUCCGGAUUGGAGUCUGCAACUCGACUCCAUGAAGUCGGAAUCGCUAGUAAUCGUAGAUCAGAAUGCUACGGUGAAUACGUUCCCGGGCCUUGUACACACCGCCCGUCACACCAUGGGAGUGGGUUGCAAAAGAAGUAGGUAGCUUAACCUUCGGGAGGGCGCUUACCACUUUGUGAUUCAUGACUGGGGUGAAGUCGUAACAAGGUAACCGUAGGGGAA
rnacentral:rRNA from 1 species